CAUAAAAUCUGGAUACAUUUUUGGUUUCAAAUGAGCUGGCAUAGUUACAAGCUUCCCAGUCUUUGGAAAGUCAACGGCUGUGGCUGCUAACUCUGCCAGUUUUAUCAAUUCUCAUCCAAAGCCCCUAAUUCACUCAAGUCAGCAUGAACAACAUGAGCAUUACAGAUUGCCCCCAAAUUCUCAUUUACCAUAUGCCUUGCAAAAAAAUCUAUAAUAUCCUGAUAACUGACAGCGCGAUUUAGGACCUUGGCUUCGGUAGCAUCAUACGGCAUUGGUGCCCAGCUCUUCUUAUCUGGUGGAAUAAGAUUUUCAUCCCAUGUCACAAAGUACAGAUCUCCAUCAAGGUCACUUCCAGAAGC
rnacentral:misc_RNA from 1 species